UACGAAGGGGGCUAGCGUUGCUCGGAAUCACUGGGCGUAAAGCGCACGUAGGCGGCUUCUUAAGUCAGGGGUGAAAUCCUGGAGCUCAACUCCAGAACUGCCUUUGAUACUGGCGAUCUCGAGUCCGGGAGAGGUGAGUGGAACUGCGAGUGUAGAGGUGAAAUUCGUAGAUAUUCGCAAGAACACCAGUGGCGAAGGCGGCUCACUGGCCCGGUACUGACGCUGAGGUGCGAAAGCGUGGGGAGCAAACGGG
rnacentral:rRNA from 1 species